rnacentral:rRNA from 1 species
UCUGGUGGCGAUAGCGAAGAGGUCACACCCGUUCCCCUGCCGAACACGGAAGUUAAGCUCUUCAGCGCCGAUGGUAGUUGGGGGCUCUCCCCCUGUGAGAGUAGGACGUCGCCAGGC